UCACCUCAUAAUGCUGCCCACACUAGAAAUCACUUUUCUAGCUUCCUGAGCUGGUUUUAGGAGUGAGUUCCCCACAUAUAGGGCUUUGCAAAUUCUGCUUCUCUGCAAGCAAGGCCUGCCUCUCUUAUUGUGCUUCCACUCACACAUACCUGUUACUGCACUUCUGCCUCAAGCAUCACGUCUCUGAUUUCCUCCUCUCCUCCUCUCAUCCUCUGUGGGCUCUUCUGUGUUGCCGUUGUAUGGAAACUGGAAUCUCUUCCUUCCUGGGAGAGAUUAUAUUGCUGUAGCUUUACUCUUUAUCUUGUCUGUUUAGUUUAUAAAUGUAAUGGAAAAAAAAAAGGAUCUUUGUUCUGUUGAUGCUAAGUGAUAAAAUAAUAGUGUAGUUCAAUGUAUUAGUUUCAGCAUAGCAUUUUUACAUUUGUUCAGUUUCCUAUCACAGAUGAACAGUUUCACAGCAGUCAGAUAGAAAGCUGCGGGAUUUUUAUGGCUGUAUCAAGUGAUAUCCUCAGUAAACCUCCUUCCUAAUUCCACUGCUUAAAUAGUUUAAAAGAAGAAAUUCAUCAUGAGUACCAUUCCUAUUCCCCUGCUUUCAUCCUCCUUCCUGAACAACUAUGCUAUUUCUUUCCUCUGCAAAUACCAUCUACUUUAUAUUUGGUCUUGGCUCACUCAACUCUGAUACCUCUUUCUCCUUACAGAAACCCACUUUACCAAAUAGUGUGACAUUUCUGAUGCCAUUAGAGUUACUCCAGACUCUUCAGAUAUGUAGAUCUAUACUGGAUGGAGGCAUCUCCAGGGGGCUAUGCAAGAUAUCACUGCAGUAGAGCAAAUCAUUAUUUUCUCUCCAAUGACAGUUUCAAAAAUGACAAACCCAAAGAUCACUUUAGACUGUGCAAUGGCUUUUGAGAAAAAACAUAUUACAGGCUAUCUGACAGCUAUCUUAACUUGAACUGCCAGGAUUCAUUUUUCUCAGAACAUCUCAAGUAAGUGUAUCACAAAGUUGUUCAUUUAAUGUAAGUGUACCUCUGGGCUUAAAAGCAAAUCCAACCUGAAAACAGUAUUCAUGAAUCAUAGUCCACAGACAUCUGUGCCAACAGUGAGGCAAAGUCAAACAAAAAUAUACUUGCAAGCUCUCUCCUUACCUCUAAUUCAUAUAAUUUAACUUAUGUUUACUGCAGUUGUAAUGUAUGUAGUAAAUCAUGUUAAAAGAUGCCUAUGGAACUCAUUUUCUAAAACAAUUAGAGCUGAAUAUUUCAUUCAGUAUAUUUUGCUGUGUCAUUUC
rnacentral:lncRNA from 1 species